UGACCGCUGGCGGCAUGCCUUACACAUGCAAGUCGCCCGGUAACGGGCCUUCGGGUGCCGACGAGUGGCGAACGGGUGAGUAAUACAUCGGAACGUGCCCGAUCGUGGGGGAUAACGAGGCGAAAGCUUUGCUAAUACCGCAUACGAUCUACGGAUGAAAGCAGGGGACCGCAAGGCCUUGCGCGGACGGAGCGGCCGAUGGCAGAUUAGGUAGUUGGUGGGAUAAAAGCUUACCAAGCCGACGAUCUGUAGCUGGUCUGAGAGGAUGAUCAGCCACACUGGGACUGAGACACGGCCCAGACUCCUACGGGAGGCAGCAGUGGGGAAUUUUGGACAAUGGGCGCAAGCCUGAUCCAGCCAUGCCGCGUGCAGGAUGAAGGCCUUCGGGUUGUAAACUGCUUUUGUACGGAACGAAAAGCCUUCUUUUAAUACAGGAGGGUCAUGACGGUACCGUAAGAAUAAGCACCGGCUAACUACGUG
rnacentral:rRNA from 1 species